rnacentral:rRNA from 1 species
UACGGAGGGUGCAAGCGUUAUCCGGAUUUAUUGGGUUUAAAGGGUCCGUAGGUUGGAUUGUAAGUCAGUGGUGAAAUCUUUCGGCUUAACCGGAAAACUGCCAUUGAUACUGCAGUUCUUGAGUAUGCUCGGUGUAGGCGGAAUAUGUCAUGUAGCGGUGAAAUGCAUAGAUAUGACAUAGAACACCGAUAGCGAAGGCAGCUUACAAGCGCAUAACUGACACUGAGGGACGAAAGCGUGGGGAGCGAACAGG